AUGGGGUGCAGCAGGCGAGAAAACUUUGCAAUGUGCGAAAGCACGACAAGGUUAAUCCGAGUGUUUUCUGCUAAAGAAAUCUUUUGUUAGUUCUAAAACCACUAACGAAUAAGGGGUGGGCAAGUUCUGGUGUCAGCCGCCGCGGUAAAACCAGCACCUCAAGUGGUCAGGAGGAUUAUUGGGCCUAAAGCAUCCGUAGCCGGCUAUGUUAGUUUUCGGUUAAAUCCAUGUGCUCAACACAUGGGCUGCCGGGAAUACUGCACAGCUAGGGAGUGGGAGAGGUAGACGGUACUCCAUAGGAAGGGGUAAAAUCCUUUGAUCUAUGGAAGACCACCUGUGGCGAAGGCGGUCUACCAGAACACGUUCGACGGUGAGGGAUGAAAGCUGGGGGAGCAAACCGGAUUAGAUACCCGGGUAGUCCCAGCUGUAAACUAUGCAAACUCGGUGAUGCAUUGGCUUGUGGCCAGUGCAGUGCCGCAGGGAAGCCGUUAAGUUUGCCGCCUGGGAAGUACGUACGCAAGUAUGAAACUUAAAGGAAUUGGCGGGGGAGCAC
rnacentral:rRNA from 1 species